UCUCAGUGAUGAACAUACAGAUGACGAGUCCGAGAAAUCCAUUCAUUAAUCAUGGGGACAAUACGAGGCAUUUGUCUGAGAGGA
rfam:Arabis alpina cultivar Pajares Aa.chr8_contig_6210, whole genome shotgun sequence.